GCCAGCUCGUGCCGUGAGGUGUCCUGUUAAGUCAGGUAACGAGCGAGAUCCCUGCUUUUAGUUGCUACCACUACUCUCAGGAGGAGUGGGGCUAAUUAAAAGGACUGCCGCCGCUAAGGCGGAGGAAGGAGGGGGCUACGGCAGGUCAGUAUGCCCCGAAACCCUCGGGCCACACGCGGGCUGCAAUGGUAAGGACAAUGGGCUCCGAUUCCGAAAGGAGGAGGCAAUCCCUAAACCUUACCUCAGUUAUGAUUGAGGGCUGAAACUCGCCCUCAUGAAUAUGGAAUCCCUAGUAACCGCGUGUCAUUAUCGCGCGGUGAAUACGUCCCUGCUCCUUGCACACACCGCCCGUCGCUUCAUCGAAGUUGGUUCUUGGCGAGGUGGUGCCUCAUUGGCACUAUCGAACCUGGGGUCAGCAACGAGGGAGAAGUCGUAACAAGGUAACC
rnacentral:rRNA from 1 species